AUUUGGCACCAGAGUGCGAAAUACGAGGGCAAUUGACAAGGAAAGCAGAUAUUUAUAGCUUUGGGAUGCUUCUUGAGGAAAUAGUCACUGGAAGAUGUAAUACAAAUACAUGACUACCAAUUGACGAACAGUAUCUGCUUGAAAGGACAUGACAAGUCUACAAGUGGAAGGAGCUUGUUGGGCUGGUAGACACAUCAUUGGAUGGUGAUUUUGAUGCCGAGGAGGCUUGUUUUCUCUUCUCUUCGAGGUUGAGGCUGACUUCCCUCUUUUUCUUCCUAUUAUUGAGUUCUACCCUAUUUCAGUGACACACCAUAUGAGGCAGUUAAAAUCUACAAAGGGAAAAUUGCAUCCAAGGGAGAAGCAUGUGCAAACUGGAGAGUGUACAAGCUUGUGUCUUAUUGUGCCUGUGGAAAAAUGUGCAAGAAGGUAGCUAACUCACACACCCAAGAACAAAGUGAUGAAGUUAAGAUAGAAUGCAGAGGAAAAUUGGCGGUGAUAAAUGUAUAGCACUAUAUACAUAUGGAGAACUUGACUUAAAGGAUAAUUAGGUAAAAGGAAUUUUGGUGUAUUAUUGUAAUUAGGCUUGCAGCUUGCAGCUAGCGGCCCUAGAGUACUUUCAUUUUUCAGAUUUUAUUUUGUUCUAUUGUACUAUUGA